UUUACCUUGUGAGGAAAAAGUGGGUUUUAAAAAAUUGAUUUUAUUACAUUGAUCAGAUGUAACUUUAGUUAAAACUGAAGCCAAAAUUCCAGCAUUUGUCAAAAUUCUAUAUAGAAGGCAGUCCCAGCUGUCUGAAUAGGAUUAUGUACACAUAAGCUGUAUGAAAUGAGCUCAUGCCUCAUGAUGUCAAGUUCUGUUUUUUGUCUGCGGUUCUUUUGUUUAUUCUCAGUUGCCAGACUUUAAAAGACUUCACUGUUUACCAUUUUAUAAUUAAGGUUUAAUUGUGUCUAUUUAAUGUGUUAUUCUGUUGCCACAGAUGCAAACUUCGUUUUUUAAAAACAUGAUAUCUAAAAAGCAGAAUGUGCGGAGUCUUUUCUUUGCCAAGCAAAACAGUUUCCACCACAUCUUGUCUAUAGAUGACUACCUUUCUGGUCAAGCCUUUGGACAGCUCUUCAGUCAUCACACAGAGUAUCUCUGCUCUAGACCUCGCUGGAGUUCAAGCUUGAAUUAUUAUAUGCAAGUUAAUUUUACAAGCCUGGAUGAGGCUAUUGAAAACUGGAAAAAAGCUAUGAGACUGUAACAACCCUUCAUUCUUUUCCAUUUCCAAAGCUCUCUCCCCAUCUCAAGCUAGAAAAUAGUGUAACCAGACUACACAAUGGAACCACUCCUAAAAAAAUUAA